rnacentral:rRNA from 1 species
GAUGAACGCUAGCUACAGGCUUAACACAUGCAAGUCGAGGGGUAACAAGAGAAAAGCUUGCUUUUCUUGUUGACGACCGGCGCACGGGUGAGUAACGCGUAUCCAACCUGCCUAUAACUAGGGAAUAACCUUGCGAAAGUAAGACUAAUACCCUAUGAUUUCCUUUGAUGACAUCAGAUUAGGAAUAAAGAUUUAUCGGUUAUAGAUGGGGAUGCGUCUGAUUAGCUUGUUGGCGAGGUAACGGCCCACCAAGGCAACGAUCAGUAGGGGUUUUGAGAGGAAGGUGCCCCACAUUGGAACUGAGGCACGGUCCAAACUCCUACGGGAGGCAUCAGUGAGGAAUAUUGGUCAAUGGGCGAAAGCCUGAACCAGCCAAGUAGCUUGCAGGAUGACGGCCCUAUGGGUUGUAAACUGCUUUUAUACAGGAAUAAAGUUAGCCACGUGUGGUUAUUUGUAGGUACUGUAUGAAUAAGGACCGGCUAAUUCCGUGCCAGCCGCCGCGGUAA